CCCAACUGAAUGUCUAGGAAGGAAGGAAACUGGGAAGGCUGUGGUGGGUUCUGGAGAGGAAGCUGAGAAAAUUACAGGGUUCAUUGCCUUGAGUUACUGCGAGGUGUCCCCUCGUAUUCCAGUGGCUCUCUGACCGAUUCUGAGGAUGUCAAGAUACGGGUGGAUGGUGUCAGCCGCCAGAGGGAAGAAAAGGUCAACUUCAAGCAAUUUAUGAAUUUAGACAAAUCACAGGUAAUUUGUUGUAAUUCUCCUUUAAGCAUAUAUGGUAAUACUCUAUGUAUGUAAUUAAGUCUUUAGUGGGGUGUUGUUGAUAGUAAUUUGGUUACAUAUGUAGUACAUGGAGCGUAAUAAUCCAAUAAGAUCAUCAGUAUUUGAAAUGUUGAGUGUAAUGUUUACCACAGGACUUCAUGACAAAUAUAAAAAGGUUUCUGACUGAUAGUAUUUGUUGGUGGGCAGGAGACAAAAUUUCCUAUUAUUCAUGAAAAUCACAGCAUUAACCUGACACAGGU
rnacentral:lncRNA from 1 species